AAUGAACGCUGGCGGCGCGCCUAAUACAUGCAAGUCGAGCGAGAAGACGUAGCAAUACGUUUGUAAAGCGGCGAACGGGUGAGGAAUACAUGGGUAACCUACCCUAGAGUGGGGAAUAACUAGCCGAAAGGUUAGCUAAUACCGCGUACGCUCCUUGGACUUCGGUUCAGGGAGGAAAGCGAUGCCGAGGGUAUCGCGCUCUUGGAUGGGCUCAUGUCCUAUCAGCUUGNGGUGAGGUAACGGCUCACCAAGGCUUCGACGGGUAGCUGGUCUGAGAGGACGAUCAGCCACACUGGCACUGCGACACGGGCCAGACUCCUACGGGAGGCAGCAGUAAGG
rnacentral:rRNA from 1 species